GUGCUCACUUUGGCAGCACAUAUGCUAAAAUUGGAACGAUACAGAGAAGAUUAGCAUGGCCCCUGCGCAAGGAUGACACACAAAUUCGCAUAGCAUUCCAUAUUUUA
rnacentral:snRNA from 1 species